GACGAACGCUGGCGGCGUGCUUAACACAUGCAAGUCGAGCGGAGCGGCGAACGGGUGAGUAACGCGUGAGUAACUGCCCCCCUCUCUGGGAUAACAGAUGGAAACGGCUGCUAAUACCGGAUAGUGGGGGAUGACUUGCGUCCUAUCAGCUUGUUGGUGGGGUAGUGGCCUAGCAAGGCGACGACGGGUAGCCGGCCUGGGAGGGCGACCGGCCACAUUGGGCUUCGGUACGGCCCAAACUCCUACGGGAGGCAGCAGUGGGGAAUAUUGCACAAUGGGGCAAACCCUAAUGCAGCAACGCCACGUGCGGGAUGUCGGUCUUCGGGUUGUAAACCGCUUUCAGCCAUGACGCGGUAGUGGCAGAAGAAGCACCGGCUAACUACGUGCCAGCCGCCGCGGUAAUUC
rnacentral:rRNA from 1 species